AACCCCCAGCUAGGCUGGGGGUUCCGUAAAGCUUCCAGCUUUGGGGCGGAUAUAAAAACCCCUUUUGAUUUGUUAAAACACCUUGCGGUCUGGCAACUGCAAUGGUCAAACAAGAAAUCAAAAG
rfam:Erwinia chrysanthemi fliC gene, fliD gene, fliS gene, fliT gene, fliE gene, fliF gene (partial), tnpA gene, isp gene and ORF2